rnacentral:lncRNA from 1 species
CAGUAUUGUAAUUGUUUUGGGAUCUCCAAUGGGUUAUAAAGAUGUAAGCUUCUGGAAGACAAAGAUGUUUCUAUACACAGCUCAGAACACUCUGACAGUAUGAACUGAAAGCUCCUAGGCCGAAAAUGGAAACUCAAGCCUGAAGGAUGAAAUGUGACCCAUAUUUUUCUCACUGCUCAGCAAAAUGUUAUUUUUGUUCCUUUCUCAGGAAAGCCCUCUAUGAUUAGCGCAUUACCGGCUGUUUGUGGAUUUGCCUGCAGCAUCGUGACUUGCAUUUUCUUCAAGGAUUCUCUGUCAAGGUUACUGUCAGCAGUUCAUCACCUCUAACUGAAGACAUACAAGCAAUAUAUGGCUGCCAUGAGGAUAAUAAUCAUUAUUCUCCAGGAACAAGUCCCGAUGAAUUAUCUGGACCUAAGUGGUCAGUCCUAAGCACAUAUAUAUGUGAGCAACACUACGUGGGCUCAGCAGGUUGUAUUUAUUUAUGCAUUUUCAUGUUUUUAAAUAAUGAAAAAAGAGGCCAUGGGAGAACUUGUGGCACUAGAGGUGUUUGAAUGGUGAAAAUAGGACAUAGAAAUAAUGUAAACUUAGCACUAUUGUCUAAAAUUCUCACAAAGUAGUAACGAAAUAAAUGUUUCAAAGAUAGACCUUUGUAUUCA